AGUGAACGCUGGCGGUAGGCCUAACACAUGCAAGUCGAACGGCAGCACAGUAAGAGCUUGCUCUUACGGGUGGCGAGUGGCGGACGGGUGAGGAAUACAUCGGAAUCUACUUUUUCGUGGGGGAUAACGUAGGGAAACUUACGCUAAUACCGCAUACGACCUACGGGUGAAAGCAGGGGAUCUUCGGACCUUGCGCGAUUGAAUGAGCCGAUGUUGGAUUAGCUAGUUGGCGGGGUAAAGGCCCACCAAGGCGACGAUCCGUAGCUGGUCUGAGAGGAUGAUCAACCACACUGGAACUGAGACACGGUCCAGACUCCUACGGGAGGCAGCAGUGGGGAAUAUUGGACAAUGGGCGCAAGCCUGAUCCAGCCAUACCGCGUGGGUGAAGAAGGCCUUCGGGUUGUAAAGCCCUUUUGUUGGGAAAGAAAAGCAGCAGGUUAAUACCCCGCUGUUCUGACGGUACCCAAAGAAUAAGCACCGGCUAACUUCGUG
rnacentral:rRNA from 1 species